CACAGUGUAGCAAUACAUGGGUGGCGACCGGCAAACGGGUGCGGAACACGUACGCAACCUUCCUUCAGGCGGGGAAUAGCCCAGAGAAAUUUGGAUUAAUACCCCAUAAUAUUUUGAGAUGGCAUCAUCUUACUAUUAAAGCUACGGCACCUGGAGAUGGGCGUGCGGCUGAUUAGGUAGUUGGCGGGGUAAUGGCCCACCAAGCCUACGAUCAGUAGCUGAUGUGAGAGCAUGAUCAGCCACACGGGCACUGAGACACGGGCCCGACUCCUACGGGAGGCAGCAGUAAGGAAUAUUGGUCAAUGGACGCAAGUCUGAACCAGCCAUGCCGCGUGGAGGAUGGAGGUCCUCUGGAUUGUAAACUUCUUUUAUCUGGGACGAAAAAAGGGUUUUCUAACUCGUCUGACGGUACCAGAUGAAUAAGCACCGGCUAACUCCGUGCCAGCAGCCGCGGUAAUACGGAGGGUGCAAGCGUUAUCCGGAUUCACUGGGUUUAAAGGGUGCGUAGGCGGGCAUUUAAGUCAGUGGUGAAAUACCUGAGCUUAACUUGGGAACUGCCAUUGAUACUAUUUGUCUUGAAUGUCGUGGAGGUUAGCGGAAUAUGUCAUGUAGCGGUGAAAUGCUUAGAUAUGACAUAGAACACCUAUUGCGAAGGCAGCUAACUACGCGAAUAUUGACGCUGAGGCACGAAAGCGUGGGGAUCAAACAGGAUUAGAUACCCUGGUAGUCCACGCCCUAAACGAUGAUUACUCGACAUUAGCGAUACACUGUUAGUGUCUGAGCG
rnacentral:rRNA from 1 species